rnacentral:rRNA from 1 species
AGUGAACGCUGGCGGUAGGCCUAACACAUGCAAGUCGAACGGCAGCACAGUAAGAGCUUGCUCUUACGGGUGGCGAGUGGCGGACGGGUGAGGAAUACAUCGGAAUCUACUUUUUCGUGGGGGAUAACGUAGGGAAACUUACGCUAAUACCGCAUACGACCUACGGGUGAAAGCAGGGGAGCUUCGGACCUUUCGCGAUUGAAUGAGCCGAUGUCGGAUUAGCUAGUUGGCGGGGUAAGGGCCCACCAAGGCGACGAUCCGUAGCUGGUCUGAGAGGAUGAUCAGCCACACUGGAACUGAGACACGGUCCAGACUCCUACGGGAGGCAGCAGUGGGGAAUAUUGGACAAUGGGCGCAAGCCUGAUCCAGCCAUACCGCGUGGGUGAAGAAGGCCUUCGGGUUGUAAAGCCCUUUUGUUGGGAAAGAAAAGCAGCAGGUUAAUCCCCCGCUGUUCUGACGGUACCCAAAGAAUAAGCACCGGCUAACUUCGUG